GAGAAUACUUCCAGAAGGAGGAGAAACAAUGGAGGCAAAGCCAAUCCAGAUGAGCUGUCCCAGCCAAGCCCAGCUAGACAGACUAAUUCCUAAUUUACUGGCAGACAAGGGACUGGGCCCGAGGUACAUCGCUACAACCAACCCAGCAGAGCCUAGCCGAGAUCACCUGCACGCCAGCCAGCAUUGAGAUAUGUUCUCAGCCCUGUGCGGCCAUGGGAAGUCAUGUCCUCUACACCGACUUGGAACAUGUCACCUGGAUUUAGGUUACAUCUGAGAUUGAUGCACUGUGCUAUCUACACAUGCCAGCAAAAUCUGUAAGUUGCUUCAUCUGAGAAAGCUGCUGGGGUUUUUGCUGCCACAAGUACAAACAAAGGCUGUCUGGGGAGAGCCAAGGGUGUGAGGG